GCCCCAGAGCCCCCGCACCAGGCAGAGCCGUACCUGGCACCCUCCCCAAGCGCCUGCACCGCGGUGACAGGUGAGUGGAUCCUAGGAAGGGGCAGCCUGUCCCCGCCCACCCCCGUCACUCACAGCUUGGUCUCCACACAGAGCCCAGCCCAGGGGCGCUGGACGUGACCAUCAUGUACAAGGGCCGCACGGUGCUGCAGAAGGUGGUGGGACACCCGAGCUGCACGUUCCUGUACGGCCCCCCAGACCCAGCUGUCCGGGCCACAGACUCCCAGCAGGUAGCAUUCCCCAGCCCUGCCGAGCUCCCCGACCAGAAGCAGCUGCGCUACACGGAGGAACUGCUGCGGCAUGUGGCCCCUGGGUUGCACCUAGAACUUCGGGGGCCACAGCUGUGGGCCCGGCGCAUGGAGCCCCCUUCUUCAGAGCUGGUGGAAUUCCGGGCACGGCAGCGCCGUGGCUCCCCAUGCUAUACCAUCUACCUGGGCUUCGGGCAGGACCUGUCGGCUGGGAGGCCCAAGGAGAAGAGCCUGGUCCUGGUGAAGCUGGAGCCCUGGCUGUGCCGCGUGCACGUGGAGGGCACGCAGCGUGAGGGUGUGUCUUCCCUGGACAGCAGCAGCCUCGGCCUCUGCCUGUCCAGCGCCAACAGCCUCUAUGACGACAUCGAGUGCUUCCUUAUGGAGCUAGAGCAGCCCGCCUAGAACCGGAUCUAAUGAGAACUCCAGAAAGCUGCAGCAGCCCGCCUAGAGCUGGCCGCGGCCGC
rnacentral:sRNA from 1 species